GAGGGUAUAGCUCAAGUGGUAGAGCACAUGCUUAGCAUGCACGAGCUCCUGAGUUCAAUCCUCAGUCCCUUCU
rnacentral:tRNA from 1 species